AGCGAACGUUUGCGGCGGGCUUAACACAUGCAAGUCGAACGAGAAUCCCUUCGGGGAGGAAAGUGGCGCACGGGUGCGUAACACGUGGAUAACCUACCCAUUGGUUGGGGACAACACCGGGAAACUGGUGCUAAUACCCGAUGUGUCGUAGUGGUCGCAAGGCUGCUACGAGAAAGGCCCGCAAGGGUCGCCAGCGGACGGGUCCGCGUCCCAUCAGCUAGUUGGUGAGGUAAUGGCUCACCAAGGCGAAGACGGGUAGCUGGUCUGAGAGGAUGAUCAGCCACACUGGAACUGAGACACGGUCCAGACUCCUACGGGAGGCAGCAGUGGGGAAUAUUGUCGCAAUAGGGCGGAAACGGACCGUCGACG
rnacentral:rRNA from 1 species